UGACCCUUUAAGGGUCCUGAAGGAACGUUGAAGACGACGACGUUGAUAGGCCGGGUGUGUAAGCGCAGCGAUGCGUUGAGCUAACCGGUACUAAUGAACCGUGAGGCUUAACCUUACAACGCCGAAGCUGUU
rnacentral:rRNA from 1 species